CUGGCGGAACUUUUGGCUGGGAAGCCUAUUAUGCCUGGACGGACCGAAGUUGAGCAGCUGCAUAAGAUAUUCAAGCUAUGUGGCUCUCCUUCCGACGAAUAUUGGAAGAAAUCAAAGUUGCCUCAUGCUACAAUCUUUAAGCCUCAACAUCCAUACAAGUGUUGCAUAAGAGAGACAUUUAAAGAUUUCCCACCGGCUGCACUACCAUUAG
rnacentral:misc_RNA from 1 species